CUUUUUGAGUACCUUUCGUUUCCUCGGCAGGCUCGCCUGCCAAUGGGGACCACAAAAAACACUUUGCAGUACCUGUAAUAGUCUGAACAAACAAACAAAAAUUAAAACUUUCAACAACGGAUCUCUUGGUUCUGGCAUCGAUGAAGAACGCAGCGAAAUGCGAUAAGUAGUGUGAAUUGCAGAAUUCAGUGAAUCAUCGAAUCUUUGAACGCACAUUGCGCCCUUUGGUAUUCCUUAGGGCAUGCCUGUUCGAGCGUCAUUUAAACCUUCAAGCUAAGCUUGGUGUUGGGUGACUGUCCGCUUCACUGCGGACUCGCCUCAAAAUUAUUGGCGGCCGGUACAUUGGCUUCGAGCGCAGCAGAAACGCGAACUCGGGCCCGUCGUAUUGGCUCCCAGAAGCUAUCUUCACAAUUUUGACCUCGGAUCAGGUAGGGAUACCCGCUGAACUUAAGCAUAUCAAUAA
rnacentral:rRNA from 1 species